rnacentral:rRNA from 5 species
GUUAUAUGGUCAAGCGAAUAAGCGCACACGGUGGAUGCCUAGGCGGUCAGAGGCGAUGAAGGACGUGGUAGCCUGCGAAAAGUGUCGGGGAGCUGGCAACAAGCUUUGAUCCGGCAAUAUCCGAAUGGGGAAACCCACUGCUUCGGCAGUAUCCUGCAGUGAAUUCAUAGCUGCUGGAAGCGAACCCGGUGAACUGAAAUAUCUAAGUAACCGGAGGAAAAGAAAUCAACCGAGAUUCCCUAAGUAGUGACGAGCGAACGGGGAGCAGCCCUUAAGCUGGAAUGGCUUUAGAAAAACAAUCUGGAAAGAUUGGCCAUAGAAGGUGAUAGCCCUGUAUUUAAAAGGGCCACUCCAGUGAAGACGAGUAGGGCGGGGCACGUGAAACCCUGUCUGAAUAUGGGGGGACCAUCCUCCAAGGCUAAAUACUCCUGACCGACCGAUAGUGAACCAGUACCGUGAGGGAAAGGCGAAAAGAACCCCGGAGAGGGGAGUGAAAUAGAUCCUGAAACCGUGUGCGUACAAGCAGUAGGAGCUCGCAAGAGUGACUGCGUACCUUUUGUAUAAUGGGUCAGCGACUUACUGUUCGUGGCAAGCUUAACCGUAUAGGGGAGGCGAAGGGAAACCGAGUCUGAUAAGGGCGCAUAGUCGCGGGCAGUAGACCCGAAACCGGGUGAUCUAGUCAUGGCCAGGGUGAAGGUGCCGUAACAGGUACUGGAGGCCCGAACCCACGUCUGUUGCAAAAGACGGGGAUGAGCUGUGAUUAGGAGUGAAAAGCUAAUCGAACCCGGAGAUAGCUGGUUCUCCUCGAAAGCUAUUUAGGUAGCGCCUCGGACGAAUACUACUGGGGGUAGAGCACUGUUAUGGCUAGGGGGUCAUCGCGACUUACCAAACCAUUGCAAACUCCGAAUACCAGUACGUACUAUCCGGGAGACACACGGCGGGUGCUAACGUCCGUCGUGAAAAGGGAAACAACCCAGACCCACAGCUAAGGUCCCAAAUUCACUGCUAAGUGGAAAACGAUGUGGAAAGGCAUAGACAGCCAGGAGGUUGGCUUAGAAGCAGCCACCCUUUAAAGAAAGCGUAAUAGCUCACUGGUCGAGUCGGUCUGCGCGGAAGAUUUAACGGGGCUAAGCAGUGAACCGAAGCUUGGGGUGCAUAAAACUUGUUUUAUGCGCGGUAGAGGAGCGUUCCGUAAGCCUGCGAAGGUGGAUUGAGAAGUCUGCUGGAGGUAUCGGAAGUGCGAAUGCUGACAUGAGUAACGAUAAUGCGGGUGAAAAGCCCGCACGCCGAAAGCCCAAGGUUUCCUUGCGCAACGUUAAUCGACGCAGGGUUAGUCGGUCCCUAAGGCGAGGGCGAAAGCCGUAGUCGAUGGGAAGCAGGUUAAUAUUCCUGCACCUCGCGUGAGUGCGAUGGAGGGACGGAGAAGGUUAGGUGUACCGGGCGUUGGUUGUCCCGGGGAAAGGCGGUAGGUUUGGAUCUUUGGCAAAUCCGGGAUCCUUUAAGACCGAGCACCGAGACGAGCCUUUAUGGCGAAGUCACUGAUACCACGCUUCCAGGAAAAGCUCCUAAGCUUCAGCUCACGAAGACCGUACCGUAAACCGACACAGGUGGGUAGGAUGAGAAUUCUCAGGCGCUUGAGAGAACUCGGGUGAAGGAACUAGGCAACAUGGCACCGUAACUUCGGGAGAAGGUGCACCCUUUUUGGUGGCUCAUGCGAGCUAUAGCUGAAGAGGGUCGCAGAAACCAGGCCGCUGCGACUGUUUAUCAAAAACACAGCACUCUGCAAACACGAAAGUGGACGUAUAGGGUGUGACGCCUGCCCGGUGCUGGAAGGUUAAUUGAUGGGGUCAGCCGCAAGGCGAAGCUCUUGAUCGAAGCCCCAGUAAACGGCGGCCGUAACUAUAACGGUCCUAAGGUAGCGAAAUUCCUUGUCGGGUAAGUUCCGACCUGCACGAAUGGCGUAACGACAGCGGCGCUGUCUCCACCCGAGACUCAGUGAAAUUGAAAUCGCUGUGAAGAUGCAGCGUUCCCGUGGCAAGACGGAAAGACCCCGUGAACCUUUACUAUAGCUUUACACUGAACGUUGAGUUCGUCUGUGUAGGAUAGGUGGGAGGCUAUGAAACUGUGGCGCUAGCUGCAGUGGAGCCAUCCUUGAAAUACCACCCUGUCGUGCUUGACGUUCUAACCUAGAUCCGUUAUCCGGAUCAGGGACCGUGUAUGGUGGGUAGUUUGACUGGGGCGGUCUCCUCCUAAAGAGUAACGGAGGAGCACGAAGGUACGCUCAGCGCGGUCGGACAUCGCGCACUGUGUGCAAAGGCAUAAGCGUGCUUGACUGCAAGAUCGACGGAUCAAGCAGGUACGAAAGUAGGUCUUAGUGAUCCGGUGGUUCUGUAUGGAAGGGCCAUCGCUCAACGGAUAAAAGGUACUCCGGGGAUAACAGGCUGAUACCGCCCAAGAGUUCAUAUCGACGGCGGUGUUUGGCACCUCGAUGUCGGCUCAUCACAUCCUGGGGCUGUAGUCGGUCCCAAGGGUAUGGCUGUUCGCCAUUUAAAGUGGUACGCGAGCUGGGUUCAGAACGUCGUGAGACAGUUCGGUCCCUAUCUGCCAUGGGCGUUGGAAGUUUGAGAGGGGCUGCUCCUAGUACGAGAGGACCGGAGUGGACGAACCUCUGGUGUUCCGGUUGUCACGCCAGUGGCAUUGCCGGGUAGCUAUGUUCGGAAGCGAUAACCGCUGAAAGCAUCUAAGCGGGAAGCGCGCCUCAAGAUGAGACUUCCCGGGGCACAAGCCCCCUAAAGGAACCAUAUAGACUAUGUGGUUGAUAGGUCAGGUGUGUAAGUACAGCAAUGUAUUGAGCUAACUGAUACUAAUGAUCCGUGCGGCUUGACCAUAUAACCU